CUCUGAAGAAGCAUCUUGCUCUGCAAUUUCUCCUUCACCCUUACCAAAAACUAGAGCCUGGAGCAGGUAGGACCUAAGAGGAUGAUAGAAAGGAGGUGAAAAUCUGACAGCUCAAAAUGAAGCAAAAAUCCGAGAUAAAACAGACACCAUUUUGUGCCCACUCAGUCUUCUCUCCAGGGUCAUACAUGUGACCAUUUAUCACCAUAGCCUGUAAUAGGUGUAGGAUGGACCCACAGGACUGUGGGAUUUUCUUCCUGGCAGCCCUCAACUAAUACUAGAUGUAACAGAAAUUGUAACCAGAAAAUUCUCACAGAACAGAUGCCCUUGCAAUUGAAAAGCACUCCCUCUAAUAAUGCUUGGCAUAAUUUUUGUUAGGUUUGUAUCUCUGGUAUAAUUACAUGAUGAUUUUAAUGGAAAUUAUAAAGAAGUAUUUUACAAAGGAAU
rnacentral:lncRNA from 1 species